GAAUUCGCCCUUAGAGUUUGAUCCUGGCUCAGGACGAACGCUGGCGGCGCGCCUAACACAUGCAAGUCGAACGGAGCUUAGAGAGCUUGCUUUUUAAGCUUAGUGGCGAACGGGUGAGUAACGCGUGAGUAACCUGCCCUAGAGUGGGGGACAACAGUUGGAAACGACUGCUAAUACCGCAUAAGCCCACGGUACCGCAUGGCACUGAGGGAAAAGGAUUUAUUCGCUUCAGGAUGGACUCGCGUCCAAUUAGCUAGUUGGUGAGGUAACGGCCCACCAAGGCGACGAUUGGUAGCCGGACUGAGAGGUUGAACGGCCACAUUGGGACUGAGACACGGCCCAGACUCCUACGGGAGGCAGCAGUGGGGGAUAUUGCACAAUGGGGGAAACCCUGAUGCAGCGACGCCGCGUGGAGGAAGAAGGUUUUCGGAUUGUAAACUCCUGUCGUUAGGGACGAUAAUGACGGUACCUAACAAGAAAGCACCGGCUAACUACGUGCCAGCAGCCGCGGUAAAACGUAGGGUGCAAGCGUUGUCCGGAAUUACUGGGUGUAAAGGGAGCGCAGGCGGACCGGCAAGUUGGAAGUGAAAACUAUGGGCUCAACCCAUAAAUUGCUUUCAAAACUGCUGGCCUUGAGUAGUGCAGAGGUAGGUGGAAUUCCCGGUGUAGCGGUGGAAUGCGUAGAUAUCGGGAGGAACACCAGUGGCGAAGGCGACCUACUGGGCACCAACUGACGCUGAGGCUCGAAAGCAUGGGUAGCAAACAGGAUUAGAUACCCUGGUAGUCCAUGCCGUAAACGAUGAUUA
rnacentral:rRNA from 1 species